rnacentral:rRNA from 1 species
GACGAACGCUGGCGGCGUGCCUAAUACAUGCAAGUAGAACGCUGAAGGAGGAGCUUGCUUCUCUGGAUGAGUUGCGAACGGGUGAGUAACGCGUAGGUAACCUGCCUGGUAGCGGGGGAUAACUAUUGGAAACGAUAGCUAAUACCGCAUAAUAGCAGUUGUUGCAUGAUAACUGUUUGAAAGGUGCAAUUGCACCACUACCAGAUGGACCUGCGUUGUAUUAGCUAGUUGGUGGGGUAACGGCUCACCAAGGCGACGAUACAUAGCCGACCUGAGAGGGUGAUCGGCCACACUGGGACUGAGACACGGCCCAGACUCCUACGGGAGGCAGCAGUAGGGAAUCUUCGGCAAUGGACGGAAGUCUGCCCGAGCAACGCCGCGUGAGUGAAGAAGGUUUUCGGAUCGUAAAGCUCUGUUGUAAGAGAAGAACGAGUGUGAGAGUGGAAAGUUCACACUGUGACGGUAUCUUACCAGAAAGGGACGGCUAACUACGUG